rnacentral:rRNA from 1 species
UACGUAGGGUGCAAGCGUUAAUCGGAAUUACUGGGCGUAAAGCGUGCGCAGGCGGUUUUGUAAGUCUGUCGUGAAAUCCCCGGGACUCAACCUGGGAACUGCAUCUGUGACUGCAUCGCUGGAGUGCGGCAGAGGGGGAUGGAAUUCCGGCGUGUAGCAGUGAAAUGCGUAGAUAUGCGGAGGAACACCGAUGGCGAAGGCAAUCCCCUGGGCCUGCACUGACGCUCAUGCACGAAAGCGUGGGGAGCAAACAGG